rnacentral:rRNA from 1 species
AUACGGAGGGUGCAAGCGUUACUCGGAAUCACUGGGCGUAAAGCGCGCGCAGGCGGCUUGAUAAGUUGGAUGUGAAAGCCUACGGCUCAACCGUAGAACUGCAUCCAAAACUGUCAAACUAGAGUCUGGGAGGGGAAGAUGGAAUUAGUUGUGUAGGGGUAAAAUCCGUAGAGAUAACUAGGAAUACCAAAAGCGAAGGCGAUCUUCUGGAACAGUACUGACGCUGAGGCGCGAAAGCGUGGGGAGCAAACAGGAUUAGAAACCCUAGUAGUCC